CCUACGGGUGGCAGCAGUGGGGAAUAUUGGGCAAUGGGCGCAAGCCUGACCCAGCAACGCCGCGUGAAGGAAGAAGGCUUUCGGGUUGUAAACUUCUUUUGUCAGGGACGAAGCAAGUGACGGUACCUGACGAAUAAGCCACGGCUAACUACGGGCCAGCAGCCGCGGUAAUACGUAGGUGGCAAGCGUGAUCCGGAUUUACUGGGUGUACAGGGCGUGUAGGCGGGAAUGCAAGUCAGAUGUGAAAACCACAGGCUCAACCUGUGGCCUGCAUUUGAAACUGUAGUUCUUGAGUACUGGAGAGGCAGACGGAAUUCCUAGUGUAGCGGUGAAAUGCGUAGAUAUUAGGAGGAACACCAGUGGCGAAGGCGGUCUGCUGGACAGCAACUGACGCUGAGGCGCGAAAGCGUGGGGAGCAAACAGGAUUAGAUACCCGAGUAGUC
rnacentral:rRNA from 1 species